rnacentral:rRNA from 1 species
UACGUAGGGUGCAAGCGUUAAUCGGAAUUACUGGGCGUAAAGCGUGCGCAGGCGGUGAUGUAAGACAGAUGUGAAAUCCCCGGGCUUAACCUGGGAACUGCAUUUGUGACUGCAUCGCUGGAGUGCGGCAGAGGGGGAUGGAAUUCCGCGUGUAGCAGUGAAAUGCGUAGAUAUGCGGAGGAACACCGAUGGCGAAGGCAAUCCCCUGGGCCUGCACUGACGCUAAAGCGCGACAGCAUGGGGAGCAAACGGG